rnacentral:rRNA from 1 species
CAGAUUGAACGCUGGCGGCAUGGCUAAAACAUGCAAGUCGAACGCGAAAGGGGCUUCGGCCCCGAGUAGAGUGGCGAACGGGCGAGUAAUACUUUGCUAACGUACCCCAAUGUCGGGGAUAGCGGCUGGAAACGGCCGGUAAUACCCGAUGACCCCCGCGGGCCGCAUGGCCUGCGGGGCAAAGGCUUGCUGCCUUGGGAUCGGGCAAAGCGCUAUCAGCUUGUUGGUGAGGUAACGGCUCACCAAGGCAAAGACGGCUAGCGGGUGUGAGAGCAUGACCCGCCGCAUCGGGACUGAGACACUGCCCGGACUCCUACGGGAGGCUGCAGUAACGAAUCUUCCGCAAUGCGCGAAAGCGUGACGGAGCAAUGCCGCGUGAAGGAUGAAGCCCCUCGGGGUGUAAACUUCUGUCAGGGUUUAGGAAUUCUGACCAAACCCAAAGGAAGGACCGGCUAACUUCGUGCCAGCAGCCGCGGUAAGACGAAGGGUCCAAGCGUUAAUCGGAAUCACUGGGCUUAAAGCGUGCGCAGGCGGGCCUGUAAGUACCUUGUGAAAUACCACCGCUCAACGGUGGAAUUGCAGGGUAUACUGCAGGCCUUGAGGCCGGUAGAGGUUGCCGGAACUGUAGGUGUAGCGGUGAAAUGCGUAGAUAUCUACAGGAACACCAAAGACGAAGGUAGGCAACUGGGCCGGUUCUGACGCUCAGGCACGAAAGCGUGGGGAGCAAACAGGAUUAGAUACCCUGGUAGUCCACGCCGUAAACGAUGUGCACUAGAUUCGAGAGGCUCUGACGCCAUUCGGGUCGAAGCAAAAGUGUUAAGUGCACCGCCUGGGGAGUACGGUCGCAAGGCUAAAACUCAAAGGAAUUGACGGGGGCUCACACAAGCGGUGGAGCAUGUGGCUUAAUUCGAAGCAACGCGAAGAACCUUAUCCUGGGUUUGACAUGCACGGAUACCCUCGCCGAAAGGCGAGUAAGUUGCCCAUUCGGGUGAAACGUGCACAGGUGCUGCAUGGCUGUCGUCAGCUCGUGCUGUGAAGUGUUGGGUUAAG